AACAAGUGUUUAUAAAUUGGUGAUAUCGAGGAACAGUGUUCACUACCUAAAACAUAUAACCUCAAAUCGCGAAAAGUCACAGGGAUUACACUAUAAUCAAGCAAGUCAUGGAAAGCAGAGAGGACUCUUUUAGGGUGAAGGAAGAGCCAAACGAUACUUAACCGGAUGCAGGCAACGAGAAUAUUUUCGAUCUGGUGGACACUUGCAAAAAUGAAAACUUUGACACAUUUACAUUUUAUAAAUCGCCAGCAAAUCACAUAAAUGAGUUGAAUGAACGAAUAUUCAUAGAUUUGGAAUGCAAACAUGUCAAACUUGAACCAAAGUCUGUAUCAAAAACUGUCUGCAAAACUGAAUAUCAAAGUUGGCUUCCUUUUGUGAAAAAAGAAAAUGAAACUCAGAACAAUUACUUGCAAGAAAAAAUGCUAUUAAUUUUAAUAAGAAAAGGAUUCAACUACGAAAAUAACAGUCGAUUUCAAGAAAAUUCCUGUUCGAAGCUUGUCGAAACCGAGGAAGUCAAAAUACUGAAAAAAAUAAAUCGAACCAAAUUAUCUCAUAAAUGUAAUUUGUGUCAAAAAAUUUAUAAAGAAGAGACGAGUCUAAAAAUGCAUAUCAAUACGAUACAUAAAAGAACUAGGCCUUUUAAGUGUAAGAUUUGUCACAAAUUAUUUGGAAAUCAGUUGAAACUUGAAUGACAUGCGAUGACAAAACAUAAUCGUAGCAAACCUUUCGAUUGUGAGAUUUGUCACAAAUCAUUUGGGCAGAAACAUCACCUCAAAGAUCAUAUCAAUGGAGUACAUGAUCGUAACAGACCCUCCGAGUGUGACGUUUGUUACAAAUCAUUUGCACAGAAAAGUCAUCUGAAUGUUCACAUAAGUACAGUACAUGAUCGUAGCAAACUCCUCGAGUGUG